GUGCUCACCUCAGCAGCACAUAUACGAAAAUUAGAAUGAUGCAGAGAAGCUUAGCAGGACCCCUGUGCAGGGAUGACACACAAAUCUGUGAAGUGUUCCAUAUUAUU